UCCACCUCCAGCCUCCCCCGCAGGAGCCUCAGCAGGAACUUCACUCGGAAAGUGGGAAUCACCCCCUGGGGGCAGAGCACAGGAACUGAAUAGCCCUGUGAGCACGAGGGCCUUUCCAGUGUGUUCACUGCUGUCUCUACAGCACCCAGAACUAGGCCCGAGUGUUGGCUAGGAUGAAGAAGGGGGAAGAGGAGACCAGUAGAAGCUAGAGAAGAUGGCGCUGUUGCUUUGGCUAAUCCUAGGAAACCGUGGGAUGAUGAGCAAUUUGUUAACUUGCACCCCGAUGACCCAGAGGGACCGCUGGAGUCAAGCCGGCAUCGCUCCUUUGUUCUGUGCACAUGCAUCGUACCGUUUACAACACACUCACGUGCUUUCCACAGAUAGAGAAAAACCGGAAAACAAUCACGCAGGCGCCCAUCAUGUAGGUAUACGCGUUCUGAAAUUUAAACAGAAGAGAGCCGCUCAUCAUGUGCACGGGAGAGCUUGUUACAAUUCCAGUUUUCAUUGUAAGUCCUCUGUGAAGUCUACUGAGUAAUUAGUUUAAUAAAAUGUGAAAACCCGUAUAAGAAAUUUAUCUCUAAAGGGUGCCGAAAAGGUCA